AUGUCCAUCUAUAACAAAUUCUCUUCUUUGUGCUGGAGCCAUUUAGUUCAGGGUUGGGGGUGGCUGGAGCUGUGCUGGGCACUCAGUGCCUCAUCCCAGCUCAGGCAGAAAAGGUGGGGAGUUGUAACUGGGGUAAUGCUGGGCUCGGUGGUUUGUGGCCGCAGGUGCGGGAGCUGUAGGCAGAGUGGAGGAGCAAGGGAAUCUGUUUGCAGAGAGGGGCUGCUGCAGGAGGCAGAGCCAUUUCCUCCACAUUGGGCACGACGUCUCUGGCAGUCCCAUCAGUGUGGACGUUGGGAAGUGCUGCUCCAGCUGCCCAUCCCAGCAGAUCAGCUCCCUCCACCUCGGCCUCCCAGGGCUCUCCAGACAGUCCUCCAUGCUCGAUUUCCUAAGGAGAAGGAAGGUGAGAGCCCCACGUUCCUGCCCCGGGGGUCCUGCUGGGAGCUGGCCCGGCUGCACCUGGAGCAGCUGCUGCUCCUCGAAGGCCUUGGGGAGGUGGAGGUGGUCGAGGGCGGCCACUGCAGCACCUGUCCCGAGGAAUGUCUUCGGCUCCCGGCCCUGAAAACCUUUCCGGACUCUCCCUGGGAGGUCGUGAUCGAUGUGGGGAAAUGCUCUGACCCAACCUACAGUGCAGGUAUGAAGGAGGGAGAGCUCCUCUCCCUCCCUCUGGGAAUAUGGGAAGGAGCCCUCUUGUGUGACCAGCACCAGUGUCCAAGCUCAGGGCACCCAGUGUGCUGAGCAGAGCCUCUGCCUUUGCAGGUAUUGGGAUUGUGUUUUGGGGUUGGGUUUCCUGUUUCUGGGCCUUUACAGCACAGGUCUGCAGGCACAGUGAUAAUUCUCUGCCCUGUGCAUGGGUGAGGAUGGAGAUACAACCACCUUUUGUACAGGGAAAUGUCCUCUAGCCAGAGAGCAUGGAAUCAGAGUAACCCAGGCUGGGAGGGACCUCAGGGAUCUCUGCUCCAACCCUCCCAGUCAAAGCAAGGAAACCAACCUGAUGAUAAAAGCUCUGCUGGAAACAGAGCCUGGAAAACAUAAUUUCCUUACUGACAGCCUGAAAUGCCCUUUUAGUACCAGUGAACUACACUGAUGGUUCAAAAAUCGCUUGGAAAUGGAAACUCCAAACGAAAUCAUUCCAGAUGGGUCAAAACCUCCCACUGGGACAAAGCUGAACUGGUUCACUGUGAACUGGUAAGCCGUCUUGUGAGUUCACUCAUAAAAUAACCCAAGACAUGUCAGUGGAGAUGAACUGAUCAGAAUGGAAAGUCGUGUUGAAAUGAUUUACCACAACUGUUUGAUGAAGUCCAUUGUUAUAAAUGAAUUUUGGGAUGUGGUUUUCGUAUUCAAUAAAGAAUUAAUCGGUGAGAGGGAAAGAGUUGAUUAUAAUUAGGAUGGUUUGUUUAAAGUUAUUAGUGGGCUUGGUUGUUAUAGUUAACCUUAAUUGAUUGCUCAUAAAUAAGUUCAGGGAUUCAGUGUUGAAAAUGUUUUAUUAUUAAAAGGAGUUGCUGAGUUUACCUCAUAGGAUCGAACGUAGAACUUUCCAGAACCCAAAUGAAGUAAGGUAAGGGGCGGGCUCGAUGAAGAGUUACCAUAACGGGUAAGACAAGGAGCAGCAUUGGAUGGACCAACAGGAGGACCCUAGACAACGAUCCAACAGAAAGGAGCCAGUCAAGAUACCCAAGACAUCAACGAGCCAAUGCCAAGAGACCUUGGUGGGAGGAGGAAUGGGCGGUGCAAGGGCGGGGUUUGGGGUAUAAAAUGAUCGCCCAGGGGCUGUGGGGGGUGCCCCUGGGUUCAGCUGUUCCGUGCUGAGUGUUCGGCGCUGCGCUUUGUUUUGUGCUACGCAGGUCGCCGCUGUGGUUUCCAAUCGUCUGUGUUCCAGUGAAUGGAUUCAGUGUUUAAUAAAUUCAUUAAAUGAUCAAGAUUGUGGCCCUGUUUUUCACAUCCAUUGUCCUGGAAUUUGCUGAUGUAGUUUUUUUUGGCAUUUCUAAAACCCAAGCCUCAAACCUCCCGGCAGCUGCUGUGGCACGGCUGUGGCACGGCCACUAGAGAGGGACAGAGACCGCGGGAGCACUAAAGGGAGCCCGGAGAGCAGCGCAGGGGCCCAGGAAUUCAUCCCGCGAGUCCGUCC
rnacentral:lncRNA from 13 species